CCUACGGGUGGCAGCAGUGGGGAAUAUUGCACAAUGGGCGCAAGCCUGAUGCAGCCAUGCCGCGUGUGUGAAGAAGGCCUUCGGGUUGUAAAGCACUUUCAGCGGGGAGGAAGGCGGUGAGGUUAAUAACCUCAUCGAUUGACGUUACCCGCAGAAGAAGCACCGGCUAACUCCGUGCCAGCAGCCGCGGUAAUACGGAGGGUGCAAGCGUUAAUCGGAAUUACUGGGCGUAAAGCGCACGCAGGCGGUCUGGCAAGUCGGAUGUGAAAUCCCCGGGCUCAACCUGGGAACUGCAUUCGAAACUGGCAGGCUAGAGUCUUGUAGAGGGGAGUAGAAUUCCAGGUGUAGCGGUGAAAUGCGUAGAGAUCUGGAGGAAUACCGGUGGCGAAGGCGGCCCCCUGGACAAAGACUGACGCUCAGGUGCGAAAGCGUGGGGAGCAAACAGGAUUAGAUACCCUUGUAGUC
rnacentral:rRNA from 1 species